CGGUAAUUCCAGCUCCAAUAGCGUAUAUUAAAGUUGCUGCAGUUAAAAAGCUCGUAGUUGAAUUUCGGGACCAUCAUGUCGGUCGUGCCUCGGUACGUACUGGCAUUGUUGGUUUCUACCUUCUGACGAACCAUGAUGUCAUUUAUUUGGUGUCGUGGGAAAUCAGGACUGUUACUUUGAAAAAAUUAGAGUGUUUAAAGCAGGCUCACGCUUGAAUACAUUAGCAUGGAAUAAUGAAAUAGGACGUUUGAUUCUAUUUUGUUGGUUUCUAGGAUCGACGUAAUGAUUAAUAGGGAUAGUUGGGGGCAUUAGUAUUCAAUUGUCAGAGGUGAAAUUCUUGGAUUUAUUGAAGACUAACUACUGCGAAAGCAUUUGCCAAGGAUGUUUUCAUUAAUCAAGAACGAAAGUUAGGGGAUCGAAGACGGUCAGAUACCGUCGUAGUCUUAACCAUAAACUAUGCCGACUAGGGAUCGGAUGAUGUUAAUUUUUUAA
rnacentral:rRNA from 1 species